rfam:Rhizobium oryzae strain 1.7048 scaffold4, whole genome shotgun sequence.
AAGCCGGGAGUGCUGAUCCGUCGGUGCGCUGAACGAUUGUUUCACCUGGCUU